AAAAUGCCCCACAGGCCAAUCUGAUAAAGGCAUUUCUUCUUCUUCGCAGAUGACUCUAGCUUGGGUCAAGAUGACAAGUAACGCAACCAACACAUCUCUCUAGAAGUCUGAUGCUCAGAGAACAGUGUGUGUAAGAGUCCUCAGCAUCUCCUGAAGCUGCUCAGGGUGGAGCUCCAGCCUGCAGGCUGCCAGAUAACUUUAUGCCUUAAAGAACCUUGGAUCGCUUGAGGCAGAGCUUCCCUCUGCACCAUCCGAACCUCGGAGCUGUUGGCCACACACCGACGAGGUGAUCCGGACCUGCCGCUGCCACAUGGCAAGGUGGCUAUUAGGUGGAUAUAACGGCCUUGAGACACGGAUAAACUCUUCA
rnacentral:lncRNA from 1 species